ACCACAAAAGAGGAAAAAGAAUGCGGUCUCUCGAGACAAGCAUCAUUUUACUUUCGAGAACAAUUUCUAAAACUCUCAAGAUUAUACGAGAAACUUGCCCUUAGCGGAAAUUGAGAGUUUGAGAAAGGACGACUGCCGGCACCUUGACGAACUCAGAAC